UGCCUUGCACACCAGACCAGAAGUUUAUUGAACAGUGUCUGUCGGGCCACACAUGCAUCAUGUGCCCCUUGUGAUCCCAUAGAAGGGCAUAAUGGGUGGGACAGAUGUGACCCUUUCUUGAUUCCCUCUUACUGCCUGUGGCAGCAAAACAGAACCUGAAGCGUGUCCGACUUGCUGGUUCUUAGAAUGCCCAAGAUGUGAGGCUGAAAGGCUGUCUUCUGGAGCAAUCCAUGAAGGGCUCCUCAGACCCUGAGGAAACAAGCCCCAAAAUCCUACUAGUGGACAAGCCAGCAUCAUCCAGUGCCUUGUGGAGGAAACAGGUAAUGCUUCAGAACUGCAUGGGGAAGACUUUACCAAGGAAAAGAUCUGGCGCCAACACCCUGGCACCGAAGCCAUAUAUCAGUGUUGAAGGUGGCACUGCUUCAGCAAAGUUGGGCAACGACUGGGCCACUCUGAACACCAAAGCUGAAGAAGGAUCACUAUGUCACUUGCAUAAAGAUAGACCCAGCAAAGCCUUCAGAGAAAAGUCACGAGGGCCCACAAUGCGUUAAGAGCUGAGGAAGAAGACGCAGCCUAUGAUGCAGCAGACUUCAUUGGCGCCAGUCCCAUCUUCAAUUAUGCCUUUAGCACCGACCCCCAAGCUCAGGGGUGACACUAGGGUAGAAUCAGAUCCACUGUUGGUACUGAGGUGCUUACCGGCAAUGGUACGGACUCUGGUACCCACAGGACCUUCACAUCAGUGCUGCCCAUAGAAAAGGUUUACUCUUCCUUACCAUCAUUGGUAUAUGCAUUCUCCGCAACAUCAAGCAGAGAACCCUCUCUCCUGAAGACUGACACUACCAAAGACCUACAAGCUUCUACAGACUUUUGUCUCCACUGACCUGUCAGUGCUUGCACUGGAUUGGCCAUUACCCAGAAAAAUGAGCAUCCUCCUGUGGCAUGGGGAUGUUGCCCUUUUGGGGAUACUGGGAUCCACUACUGCAGGCACUCAGAAGCAUAUCUGCAUCAUCGAGGAAAAGGAAGAGAGAUGUCUCCCUGGGAGCAACGCUGGUCAGGCCACCAACGCCUAAAUACCAGGAAGAGCCAGAUCCAGAGGCAGAACAACAUCAAUGCCACGUUUCACCACCAAAAUCUCUUUCCUCUUUGGUGCUGGUUGAGGUGAUAGCCUCGACACUUGGCCCCAAUGGACACCCUAGUUUAAAAAAAACCUAAACUCUCCAGUCUCGGGUGCAUGAGAUAAUGCACAUCUCUAGUGAGACCCACACCGACUACAACAUCUCAAAAGAACCACAGUGACUGUAGAGGAAGUAACUGUUUUUUAUAAUUUCAGGUAGGAUGAGGAGCAGGCUCAGGUGAACUUUGCAUGAAACUUGGACUUUUUGUUGUGAAAAUAUCCUCUGGUAAUUUACAAAUCUAACAAGUUCAAUACAAAUGAGGAAAUCAGACAUUUGGGCAGACUUAUUUCCAAACAGAUAUUUUUUCCCAAAGAUUUCCACAAGACAUGGUUGGUUCACUCUGCUCUAGCUGAAUCUGAACCUAUUCUAGGUUCUGAAUCUGAACCUAUUCUGCAAAACAGCAACAUCAGAACUUUGCAGUUUUUUUUCUAAAGAGGCCCUUUUAGACCAGCGGUAGGAUAUUAAUACAAUUAGAUUCCAAACCGUGGAAUUGUAUUCUGUCUGCCUAAAAUUCUCACUGCCA